rnacentral:rRNA from 1 species
CCUACGGGGUGCAGCAGUGGGGAAUAUUGGACAAUGGGCGAAAGCCUGAUCCAGCCAUGCCGCGUGUGUGAAGAAGGCCUUCGGGUUGUAAAGCACUUUCAGUGGGGAAGAAAGCCUUGGGGCUAAUACCCUCGAGGAAGGACAUCACCCACAGAAGAAGCACCGGCUAACUCCGUGCCAGCAGCCGCGGUAAUACGGAGGGUGCGAGCGUUAAUCGGAAUUACUGGGCGUAAAGCGCGCGUAGGCGGUCUGAUAAGCCGGUUGUGAAAGCCCCGGGCUCAACCUGGGAACGGCAUCCGGAACUGUCAGGCUAGAGUGCAGGAGAGGAAGGUAGAAUUCCCGGUGUAGCGGUGAAAUGCGUAGAGAUCGGGAGGAAUACCAGUGGCGAAGGCGGUCUUCUGGACUGACACUGACGCUGGGGUGCGAAAGCGUGGGUAGCAAACAGGAUUAGAUACCCUGGUAGUC